rnacentral:rRNA from 1 species
AAUAUGCGACAAUGGGGGCAACCCUGAUCCAGCCAUGCCGCGUGUGUGAAGAAGGUACUCGGAUUGUAAAGCACUUUAAGUUGGGAGGAAGGGCUUUAGGCUAAUACCCUGAAGUUUUGACGUUACCAACAGAAUAAGCACCGGCUAACUACGUGCCAGCAGCCGCGGUAAUACGUAGGGUGCAAGCGUUAAUCGGAAUUACUGGGCGUAAAGCGUGUGUAGGCGGUUCGUUAAGUUGGAAGUGAAAGCCCCGGGCUUAACCUGGGAAUUGCUUUCAAAACUGACGAGCUAGAGUACGGUAGAGGGUAGUGGAAUUUCCUGUGUAGCGGUGAAAUGCGUAGAUAUAGGAAGGAACAUCAGUGGCGAAGGCGACUACCUGGACUGAUACUGACACUGAGGUGCGAAAGCGUGGGGAGCAAACAGG